UGUGCAUGUUAUGCCUGAUUGGAUGAUGUUAUAUCAAAACUUCUGAAGUACUGCUACAUAACGCUUCUCACUCUGUGUUGCAGGUGAGAUGGGGUGGCAGAAGCCAGGAUGGAGCAGGAAACACGGUGGGAGAGGAAGUAGAGCAGGUAUGGUAUUAUUGUCAGUAUUUUAACUAUGACUACAAAGAGUCUUAAUAGAAUCCAUAACACCAAAAGGUACUUAUCUGUCAUCUAAGUAACAAGCCUGGUGUGAGGGUUAAAGUACAUCCUUUAUGUAUGAGUUAAAAUAAAUAAUAGGCAGUUCAGUUGUUCAUGCAUGCGUAAGGGGUCCCAAAUUCCUAGGAUAAUACAGCACACAUGUUUUCUGUUAAACCACAACCACAAGAUCUAUGGUGUGUAGGUAAUAUUUUUAUGUAAUGGAGACCAAAAUUUUAUUGUAUUAUUUUCUUUAUAGGUGAACAGCUUUCUCUCCAGGGCAGCACUUGUCACAAAAUACAUGACAAAGGCUGGAAGAGUGAACAUGCUAACGCGACAGGCCAUGGGUUGGAACAGAAGAAAGAGGGACAACCUUCAUCAAGUGUUAGCCCACAGAUAUGUCAAAAUCGCAGAGAGGGCAAAACUGGAAGCUGCCAGCCUUAGCAAAAUCAAGAAGGAGCACAACCUUGAUCAGGAGACAAUACAGCAGUGGGUGUGUGAUGUCAGACAAUGGGCGGUUACAGAGAGAGUCUACACUCCAGGUUGUACUGAAGAGCUAAGGGCUGACAUUGAGAACAUCACUGUAACCCUUUUGCGCAAGAAGAAAGAUCUGUAUCGUCGGCAUGAUAGCAACCAGGCAAGACAAAGAAAGAAAAAGAAAAUGACAGAGUUGAAGAAGAAGCUUCGCGAAAAGGUCUUGCAAUACAACACCGUAGUGGAAGGAGAUCCGAUUGACGAGGAGUUGGCUUGCAGUCUGACAGAGGGAUACAUCCUACCAUGGGAGAGACACAAAGAUGGCAACACGUUCAGGUUAAAGAGAUCUUCGACCAGGUAAUGCUGCUGAAACGCUUGGAGGAGGAGCAGAGCAUCCUGGUAAAGGAGAUGUCUCAGCACAUCAAGUACCUUCUGAAGCAAGUGCAAGAAGUUGAGUCACUUAGAGGACAGACUUUGGAGCGCAUCAAAACCAGCAGUAUGUACAAUAUCUUUAGAUUUUAGUGUCAUGAAUUAAUUUAUAAUAAAUAGAUAUAUAAAUAAAGAUAAUAAAGAUAU
ensembl:lncRNA